UCGUAUGUCGAAGGCGGGCCUACAGCAGCAGAUGAACUCCCAGCUGAUUCAAAUGCAGCAGCUGCAAAUACAGCAGCAGCAACAGCAGCAGUCAUCACAGACGCAGCAGGCUCAGCAGCAGCAGCAGCAGCAGCAGUCGCAGCAAUCAGCAUAGACCAAGUCACAAAGAACCUGGAUCUCUAUAGCAGAGGAGGAGAAAUUCGAAUCUAGCCGAGCAUGAUGAGUUGAAGAUGGUGAUCGUAUGUGCGAGCGGAGAGAAAAUAAUAUCUUUUGAUUAUAUCAGACAGGUUGUAGGAUGGAUAGCAGUGGUUGGGCAACGGAUGCUGCCCGAGUUCUUUUGUUUAAGGUGGUAUAAUACUCAGCGUGGAGCAUGGUCGUCGUCGUACCGUAUUGUCUGUCGUAUAUUCGUGCUGUACAUGAGUACCUUCCUUGUGAGUCACUGUGGUAGUCUUCUCAUUAAAGAUUCUUUCCGACGAGUUGUUUCUGCGAGUCUAUGAGGUUAUUAUAUUACAAAAUCUACAACAGUACCUGUGCCGUGAACGUGUAAUGGAGUAUAUGGCGUACUUCGUCAGCGUUCGGGCUAUGCUUGUGUUCACGUUUUG
rnacentral:lncRNA from 1 species